rnacentral:rRNA from 1 species
ACUAACGUGGUGGCGGCAGCGCGGGUGAGACGGAGGGUGCGGGGAGUAGUCGGAGUUACUGGGCGUAAAGCGUGCGUAGGCGGCUGUUUAGGUCGGAUGUGAAAUCCCCGAGCUUAACUUGGGAAUUGCAUUCGAUACUGGGAAGCUAGAGUAUGGGAGAGGAUGGUAGAAUUCCAGGUGUAGCGGUGAAAUGCGUAGAGAUCUGGAGGAAUACCGGUGGCGAAGGCGGCCCCCUGGACAAAGACUGACGCUCAGGUGCGAAAGCGUGGGGAGCAAACAGGAUUAGAUACCCUAGUAGUC